rnacentral:rRNA from 1 species
AGUGAACGCUGGCGGUAGGCCUAACACAUGCAAGUCGAACGGCAGCACAGUAAGAGCUUGCUCUUACGGGUGGCGAGUGGCGGACGGGUGAGGAAUACAUCGGAAUCUACUUUUUCGUGGGGGAUAACGUAGGGAAACUUACGCUAAUACCGCAUACGACCUACCGGUGAAAGCAGGGGAUCUUCGGACCUUGCGCGAUUGAAUGAGCCGAUGUCGGAUUAGCUAGUUGGCGGGGUAAAGGCCCACCAAGGCGACGAUCCGUAGCUGGUCUGAGAGGAUGGUCAGCCACACUGGAACGUAGACACGGUCCAGACUCCUACGGGAGGCAGCAGUGGGGAAUAGUGGACAAUGGGCGCAAGCCUGAUCCAGCCAUACCGCGUGGGUGAAGAAGGCCUUCGGGUUGUAAAGCCCUUUUGUUGGGAAAGAAAAGCAGCAGGUUAAUACCCCGCUGUUCUGACGGUACCCAAAGAAUAAGCACCGGCUAACUUCGUG